GCCUGUGUUCCGUUGGCUGUGCGCCAGAUGUCUCCAUUUGCGGAGAUCCCGUCUCAGGCAGAAGUAAGGCUGAUCUGAGGUCCUAGAGUCCAGAACAAAAUCUAGGAGAGGAAGGACAGCAGCAAACAUUUAUUGAAUUCUUUAAGGUGUCAACUCACAUGUGUAGAAAAAGAAAAGAAACUAAGACUUAUUGAAUCCUAAACCUUCAGUGCUGAUGAUAAGCCUCAAGUCCUCACUGCAUGUACAGCUCCAGGCUCAUAGGAAACCAGUACUAAAUAUUUCUGAAAUAGAUCAAGCACCCAUCCUUGUUCUUACACAGAUCAAAACAACAGCAAACAAGAGGGGUUAGAGGGAAUGAGAGGUUAUUAUUUAAUGGGAUAGAGUUGGUUUUGCAAGAUGAAGAGCAGUCUGGAGAUGGAAGAUGGUGAUGAAUGUGUAACAAUGUGAAUGUACCUCAACUCUACACUGAGAAAUUAUUAAGAUGGUAAACUUUAUGUUAAUAGUAUUUUAUUUUAGGUACCGGGGAUUGAACUUGGGACCUUGUGCUUGCAAGGCAGGCAGAGGAACCACUGAGCUAAAUCUCAGCUGUUACUUGUAUUUUAUUAUGAUUCACAAUUAAGAAGAGGGCUGGGGAUUUAGCUCAGUCAUGCUGCAAAGUCCUGAGUUUGAUCCCCAGUACCAAAAAACAAACAAACAAACAAACAACAACAAACAAUUGAGAAGAAGUUAGAUGUAGUGAUGCAUGCCAGUAAUCCCA